AGGGACGAUGAAUACUUUCAAGCAGAAUUUCAGAGGUAGGGAUGAAUACUUUCAAGUAGAAUUUCAGACUUCUUCCGAAUUAUUGGUUGAAGUCCCAUUUGACAGAAAGUUUACAAGACAGAAUCAAAAUCCUUGGCCAUAACAACAAACUUUUUGUGUGGGUGGUUACUUUAAGGAUGCUAGUGCAGAUGCAACAUUUCGCGAUAUUCGAUCAUGUAUUGGCUCCUGCAAGAACACGGUUUUUAUUUUUGACAAUGAAAAUAAGUUAUAUUAAAAUGAAUUGCAUUAGAAUUGUAUAUGGAUUACCUGUGUCAAUUGCAUCUCAAACUUUGAUUUUGUUAUAGUCUCGUAUAAGAAAAUGUACCUGCCAAGAAAAAUAGUAUGAUGCUCAUCUAUAUGAAAAUGUUGGGAGGAACAUAUUGGAUUUAUACUCUUAUGUAUAUUAUUUGAAGUGAAAAUAGAAACAUGAAACAUUGAAAGUAAACAUGCCUUAUCUUUCCGCCUUAUGUGACAACAUAAUUUGGCAGAAAAAGAAAGCAAAACAGAGAGGGGAUUAAUGCCUUAUCUAUGCAAAAUUGAGUAGAACAUUAAAUUUCAAUGUAUAAACUACGUUUAAACUAAAAAGUUAUAAAUUCUAGCUUCAAAUAAAAUCAAUUAUGGAGGCAGAAUCAAUUCUACUUUAAAAGAAUCACUCUUUAUCACAAACACAUGUGCACACUAUUGUAUCUAAUGUUGCAGUUGAAGGUGUUGUUGUUGCUGGAAAACUUUAGGAACAGAAUAAUUCUAAUCUUGGUUAUGAUGCCAACAAAGCUUUGUAAUUAGGUAAAUAUGUAGAUAUGGUUAAGUCUAAAAUUAUUGAUCCAUUGAAGGUGGUUAGGACCUUCUUGGUUGACAUAACCAGUGUAUCGUCUUUGAUGAUAACAACCGAAGUUAUUGUUUCUGAACUCCCAAAAGAAGAUAAAGACAGUCCUACAAUGCCUGACAACAUGGGUGGUAUGGAUUAUUAGCUGCUAUGAAGACUUGAAUUAAAGU